AAAAGCUUUUAUAGUAUAAAGUACGUACUACACCUCUUAGCACUUAGUUUACUGAAUGAUGAGUUGAUUAUAAGUUCUUUAAUAAUCACUGAAAUUCUAACGCAGUCAUAAUUUGUGGGCAAUGUAAUAAAAUUUUAGCUGAAAAAUUGCACUAUAAUCGAAGCUGAUCAUAUUUUUAUAUGAAAAUGAAGAAAAUGAAUUAGGUAAACUUAAUUGAACAGUAUCGGUGUAAUAUUGGAGUCGGCCGAGUCGGGUUUAUUGAGAGUUCCAUUCCGUAAUACUUGUUGUAGUUGAAGCGAUGAGAAUUUUGAUUAUCGCCUUCAUGAUUUUUUGUGUUUUAGUGGUUCUCAGCAAUGGUGAUGAUUCUCAGGAAACUACCCCUAUAAUAGCUUCUUCGUCUUGGAAUGUGCCUACUAUAUGGCCGUUUGGUAAUUAUAUGAAAACGGACUCUGCCAAUAGUCGGCCACGUUUUCUGCAUUGAUGACAAUUCCUGCCUCAACGACUUCUUCGGUUUGCGCCACCUCAACGUCAAACUAAAAAUUGACUGACAGGCAUGGUAUCGAUUACCUAAUUUCAGUUUGUGAUCACCAUCCUUAUUUUUUGUGUCUCAGUGGUUCUCAGUUUCGUUCCCUUACCUCAUCCUCAGCCCGAUGGGCGUCCUAUGCCUCGAUGGUCUCCUCAGCCUGGAGAGUUUUCUGAGAGUGAAUAUGAACCAGAUAUUCGGUCUAAGGGACCUCCUCUGCAUUGACCACUUCCUCUGCCUCAGCACCUCCUACGUUUGCAUCACUUCAUUUACAUCCAACGGAAAAAAUCACUAUGAAGUGGUUUUGAAAGAUCUUGAAAGACGUUUCUGGCUCAACUAUUGUAACGAAUAUACCAAGCUGAUGAAAAAAAUUUGCCCAACCUCCAACUCGUAGACAAUGACUAGUUUCCAUUCCACGUCGAACCAAUGGGCGAAGAAGAUGAAGGCUGAUUAGUGAUUAUCUCGUAGAUGAUUCCUAGUGACCAUUUUUGAACAUUUCUUUCUGUGGAAUCAAUUAUUUCUAAUUACGUAACAUGUUACCCUUUUUAAUUUAUUUUCAAUAAAAUAUUUUUAAUUGUCA